GUGUCAGGUGGGAUCUUCUUUACCUGUUCCUCCUUUUGGAGGGCAGACUGGAAUAUGAUGAUUGGAGUUUGCAUGAUAUGUGAUUAUCAUCUCUGUGCCAUCAGGAUUCACAAACAAAAGCAAAAACAAGAAACUUGUACAGGAAUCUGAA